CGGUGCAGCAACAUCACAACACCCACUGCCGCCCACCACCGCUCACUGUGUUCCUCUUCCUUAUCCACACACAACACACAACCCCAUUCCUACUUCUCUUCUGUGCGCAGCCGUGGUGGCUGGCCGGAGCCAGGGCAGCAACCCUUGUCGGUGAGGAACCACCAGAGGACGCCAUGGAUGGCGCUUUGGAGCUGCGUCGCCCGACCUGGCCGCUAGCCCAGUCUCUGAUCCCUGAGUCAGCAGCCUCGGAUUCGGCCCGAUUCGGACGUCCACAGCCUCCGCCACCUGCGCAUGCCCCCUAGGUCCGGCCGAUGAUCUCGCGCCGCUGCGUCUGCUCGCGUUGACCCCGAGGAGGCCAACGCCUCUCCAGCCGCGGCCCACCUGCCUUGGCCCGUCCUGCAACGGCGGUAGCAGGCCUGGCAGGUUCUGGCAGCGUCGGGCUGCUGCGGCGGCAUCCCCGUGUGGUGGUGGUGGAGCUCUCUGAGGGAAGGGAGAGGAGGGUAGGUCCUGAGUUUGAACUCGUAUCUAUUGCAUUCUCUUCAUCUUCUUCCCCAUAGGAGCAGCCACAGCAGCUGAGCACAGGGCCGCGGCCUUCAACUCUCCAAGGCCAGCCUGCAGCUCCCCCCACAGCAGCAGAUCACACCCGUGCGCGCGCACCCGAGGCCGCCCCUGCCUCCUCCAACUGCGCAAGCAGUCCAAGCCAGACUCCCGCCCCCCUCUCCUAUCCUAUCUUCCCCUUCCUCUCUCUAAUCUCACAUGUUUUCUACAGGGAGCCCGCCAUGGAGACGCCACCUCUCCGUCUCGAUCCGUUCGCCAGCAUGGGCCGGAUCUGCCGGCCGCUGCUGGUGUCCUCGAAGGAGCCCGCCAUGGAGAUCGCCGCCUCUCCCUCUCAUCCAUCCACCGCUGGUUUCCUUCAGGGACCCGCCAUGGAGGUUGCCGCCUCUCCCGUCUCGAUCCCUCCAUCGCUGGAUCCACGGCGGAGCAGCCGAGAUCCGCUGCCCAGGCGAGCGCCCAUCGAUGCCGCUGGUGUCCCUUGGCCUUUGCUUUUUUAUUAUUCUUUUUACUUUAUUUCUCCAGGGUAAAUAUGUAGUGCGGGUUGAAUAACACAAACUAUAGGUUUUUUUGCAAAAAGGCGUGACGUACGGCAGAAACCCAAUUCUCUUUAUUAUUACUAGUACAAAUGCCCGUGCGUUGCACCGGGCGGUAAAAUGGACAUAACCUACUUCAUGUGUCACUGUGCAUAAUUUUUUUAUAUCCAUAUUAAUACAUGUUGAUAAUAUAGUUAAA